GCAAUUUUCUUAGUUAAUACGCUUCCCAAUACAUUCCAUAGAUUUUUGUUGCAUGCCAUAUAUGGCAUGCAACUUUCAUAUAGCUCUAAAUUUCGUGUCGUGUGCGGUGAGCGUACCGGUCACCAACCUCGUACCCAGGGCUAGUCGCGAAUUGAAGGCGGCGACAUAGCCCUGGUAAACGCUGGUCACGUGACUCCAACAUUACGUAAUUGUUACUUUUUUCAACCGGGGGGUGAAUAGGUGAAAUUCAAAGACAAACAGUUUUUAUCUCCGAAAUUCUUCAAUCUUCUUUGUGAAUUUUGCACUUGAAGGCUGAAGCUUCUCUCAAAGUACGGCGAUCGAUCAAAUGGAUCAAUACUUUCUGUAGAAAAAACUCAGUGAGAUUUGUUCGUAUGAAACGUUUAAAAGACACGGAUAUGUCGCCAAAGACGCUCGAUCAUUGCACAGGUUUAUGGAAUAGUACUUUGUUCAGUUUGUUGCGAAUUGCGAAGCAAAUGAAUGCAAAUUCAACUCUUGUAUAAUGACUAAAAGUUGGUUUGUAGAGGGACAACAUAUACAAAAGAUAUGAAUACAUUAGCUUCAAACUAGGGACAAGUUCAUGGACAAAUGACAAUGGACAUCCCUAAUAUAUGGAC